GUGAACGCUGGCGGUAGGCCUAACACAUGCAAGUCGAACGGCAGCACAGUAAGAGCUUGCUCUUACGGGUGGCGAGUGGCGGACGGGUGAGGAAUACAUCGGAAUCUACUUUUUCGUGGGGGAUAACGUAGGGAAACUUACGCUAAUACCGCAUACGACCUACGGGUGAAAGCAGGGGAUCUUCGGACCUUGCGCGAUUGAAUGAGCCGAUGUCGGAUUAGCCAGUUGGCGGGGUAAAGGCCCACCAAGGCGACGAUCCGUAGCUGGUCUGAGAGGAUGAUCAGCCACACUGGAACUGAGACACGGUCCAGACUCCUACGGGAGGCAGCAGUGGGGAAUAUUGGACAAUGGGCGCAAGCCUGAUCCAGCCAUACCGCGUGGGUGAAGAAGGCCUUCGGGUUGUAAAGCCCUUUUGUUGGGAAAGAAAAGCAGCAGGUUAAUACCCCGCUGUUCUGACGGUACCCAAAGAAUAAGCACCGGCUAACUUCGUG
rnacentral:rRNA from 1 species